GGCCUGCCCGACACUCUUUCCCUGUUGCACUACUGUGGGCCACUGGGAAGCAGUGCAAUGAUGAAAGGGCAUCGGUCAGGCC
ensembl:miRNA